UACGGAGGGUGCGAGCGUUGUCCGGAAUCACUGGGCGUAAAGGGCGCGUAGGCGGCGCGAGCAGUCGAUCGUGAAAGUCCGGAGCUCAACUCCGGAUCGGCGGUCGAUACUCUCGUGCUUGAGCACUGUAGAGGCAGAUGGAAUUCCUGGUGUAGCAGUGAAAUGCGUAGAUAUCGAGAGGAACACCUGCGGCGAAGGCGGGUAGCUGGGCCGACACUGACGCUGAUGCGCGAAAGCCAGGGGAGCGAACGGG
rnacentral:rRNA from 1 species